CCUACGGGAGGCAGCAGUGAGGAAUAUUGGUCAAUGGACGCAAGUCUGAACCAGCCAUGCCGCGUGCAGGAAGACGGCUCUAUGAGUUGUAAACUGCUUUUGUACGAGGGUAAACGCAGAUACGCGUCUCUGUCUGAAAGUAUCGUACGAAUAAGGAUCGGCUAACUCCGUGCCCGCAGCCGCGUUAAUACGGAGGAUUCAAGCGUUAUCCGGAUUUAUUGGGUUUAAAGGGUGCGUAGGCGGUCGGAUAAGGUAGGGGUGAAAUCCCGAGGCUCAACUUCGGAAUUGCCUCUGAUACUGGUCGGCUAGAGAGUAGUUGCGGUAGGCGGAAUGUAUGGUGUAGCGGUGAAAUGCUUAGAGAUCAUACAGAACACCGAGUGCGAAGGCAGCUUACCAAGCUACUUCUGACGUUGAGGCACGAAAGCGUGGGGAGCAAACAGGAUUAGAUACCCUGGUAGUC
rnacentral:rRNA from 1 species